GCCAUAUCACGUUGAAAAAACAGGUUCCCGUAUGAUCACCGAAGUUAAGCAACAUCAAGCCUGGUUACUACCUAGGUCGGCGAACUCUUGGGAAUACCAGGUGA